rnacentral:tmRNA from 1 species
GGGGAUGUUUUGGAUUUGACUAAAAAAUUAGAUAGCAUAAGCUGCAAGCAGAGCGAAUCUCUUAAAACUUCUUUAAUAAAUGCAAAAAAUAAUAGCUUUACAAGUUCAAAUCUUGUAAUGGCUGCUUAAGUUAGUAUAGAGUUUUGUUGAAUUUUGCUUUGAAGUUUGACUUAUACUCUUUAAUGAAAAAAGGAAUCGAAGCUUGCUUAAAAAUGUUUCAAGUUCAUUUUUAGGGACUUUUAAACUUGAAAGUAAUUUGGUGGUUUGCUAGAGUUUUCAUCUCUUUACUUAAUAAAAUUCUGGCUAAGCUUGUAGAAGCUUGUAAUAUCAUUUUUAGGACGCGGGUUCAAAUCCCGCCAUCUCCAAAA